AUUGAACGCUGGCGGGCAGGCUAACACAUGCAAGUCGAGCGGCAGCGACUUAACUGAACCUUCGGGGAACGUUAAGGGCGGCGAGCGGCGGACGGGUGAGUAAUGCCUGGGAAUAUGCCCUGAUGUGGGGGAUAACUAUUGGAAACGAUAGCUAAUACCGCAUAAUCUCUUCGGAGCAAAGAGGGGGACCUUCGGGCCUCUCGCGUCAGGAUUAGCCCAGGUGGGAUUAGCUUGUUGGUGAGGUAAUGGCUCACCAAGGCAACGAUCCCUAGCUGGUCUGAGAGGAUGAUCAGCCACACUGGAACUGAGACACGGUCCAGACUCCUACGGGAGGCAGCAGUGGGGAAUAUUGCACAAUGGGGGAAACCCUGAUGCAGCCAUGCCGCGUGUGUGAAGAAGGCCUUCGGGUUGUAAAGCACUUUCAGUAGGGAGGAAGGUAGUGUAGUUAACACCUGCAUUAUUUGACGUUACCUACAGAAGAAGCACCGGCUAACUCCGUGCCAGCAGCCGCGGUAAUACGGAGGGUGCGAGCGUUAAUCGGAAUUACUGGGCGUAAAGCGCAUGCAGGCGGCCUGUUAAGUCAGAUGUGAAAGCCCGGGGCUUAACCUCGGAAUUGCAUUUGAAACUGGCAGGCUAGAGUCUUGUAGAGGGGGGUAGAAUUUCAGGUGUAGCGGUGAAAUGCGUAGAGAUCUGAAGGAAUACCAGUGGCGAAGGCGGCCCCCUGGACAAAGACUGACGCUCAGAUGCGAAAGCGUGGGGAGCAAACAGG
rnacentral:rRNA from 1 species